rnacentral:rRNA from 1 species
UACGUAGGGUGCAAGCGUUGUCCGGAUUUAUUGGGCGUAAAGAGCUCGUAGGCGGUCUGUCGCGUCGGAUGUGAAAACCCAGGGCUCAACCCUGGGCCUGCAUUCGAUACGGGCAGACUAGAGUGUGGCAGGGGAGACUGGAAUUCCUGGUGUAGCGGUGAAAUGCGUAGAUAUCGUAAGGAAGACCAGUGGCGAAGGCGAAUCUCUGGACAGUUACUGACGCUGAGACACGAAGGCCAGGGGAGCAAACGGG